rnacentral:tRNA from 1 species
GGGGAUAUGGCUCAGUGGUAGAGUAUGUGCUUAAUAUAUGCAAGGUCCUGGGUUCAAUCCCCAGCACCACCC